ACAUUGUCUUCAUAGUUGGCGAGCGGUUAGCCUCGCGAGGUAAACGGCGAAUCGAAUGUGUCUCGAACGUAAUACGGAGUUCACCGAGUGGAAUCGUAUUAAUACCGGGGAUACCUGUAAUAAGUAUACUCGAGUACGGCGGUUCGGAAAAUGAUGGGGGAAACGUCGGUGUCCCGUUGGAAAGCAGUUUGACGAGGGUGUCCGGAAAAUCACGGCACCUGUCGAUUUUCCGCGAAAAUAACCGGAAACGCCCGAUCCUCGGUCGGGUUUCUCGUUCAGGCACCAGCCGUCGCCGUCGUAUCUAGCAGACGACAUGUUGGCUGCACACAGCACCUCGUCUGAGACGUUUCAGCCGGAAAUUUCCUCGAAAAUCGUAUUGUAUUGAAGUGCGUGUCGUACAAAGUGCUGCUCGGAUAUCAUAUCGGGAAUAUCCGCGGUGUUUACGUGGAUUAACAAGUGUUUACCGGCGACAAGGGGUCACCGAGGAUCUCAGGUGAAAACGGAGUGACAGUCAAGUCGAGAAUGCAUGCAGCACGCGGAAUCGACGGGGUGCUGCAGUUAUGGUUUUGUGGUGCGAGGGAGGCGCAACGAAGAAGUAGUGCAGGGUGCGAAGAAGGAGGGCGUUGAAGUGAUUUACUUUAAAAUUAGUUGGGGCGUUGCGUAUCGUAGCUGCCGUCGUUACUCCUUUACGGCAACAGACCGGCUGAUCCUGACUGAAUGUAAAAUUAAAAAAAGAAAAACUAAAGCCAAGACUAAAACUAAAAAUAAAACUAAAACUGUAACCAAUAAUAAAAAAUACAAGGCUAAAAGUAGAUUUAAAA
rnacentral:lncRNA from 1 species